rnacentral:rRNA from 1 species
GAUAAAUUGAAUGGCCGCGGUAUUUUGACCGUGCUAAGGUAGCAUAAUCAUUAGUUUUUUAAUUGAAAGCUGGAAUGAAGGGCUGAAUGAAAAAAAAACUGUCUCUAAUUAAUUAUUUUAGAAUUUUAUUUUUAAGUUAAAAAGCUUAAAUUUUAUUAAAAGACGAGAAGACCCUAUAGAGUUUAAUAAUUAUAUAUUAUAAAAAAUUUGGGAUUUAUUUUUUUAUUUUUAUAUAAGAAUUUGAUUGGGGUGAUUAAAAAAUUUAAUAAACUUUUUUAUUUAAUUAUAUUAAUGAAUAAUUAGUUGAUCCAGAAAUUUUGAUUAUAAGAU